GGUUGGAUCAUCCAGCACUAUGACCGGAUCCCAUCAGAACUCCGCAGUUAGGCUUGGGCGAGAGUAGUUAGGAUGGGUUGACCCCUGGGAAGUCUCGUGUUGCACCCC
rnacentral:rRNA from 1 species